AAUUCUCAACCUUCAUCGGCUUUUGCUGAUGAUGGCUUGGAUAUGGGGGGUUUAUUUUGCUGGCUUCUUUACAGAUGGUCAGCUCCCCUUAAAUGCAUUAGCCGGUGCCCCGCGUGGACUGUCUAUUGGUGUGAUAAUUAUCUACGCUAUAGACAUCUGCAAUAAUAGGGUUUGCGCUGCUUCUAACAGUCUGUUGAUUCAGACAAUACAUGACA
rnacentral:misc_RNA from 1 species